GACGAACGCUGGCGGCGUGCUUAACAUAUUCAAGUCGAACGGAAAGGCCCUGCUUUUGUGGGGUGCUCGAGUGGCGAACGGGUGAGUAACACGUGAGUAACCUGCCCUUGACUUUGGGAUAACUUCAGGAAACUGGGGCUAAUACCGGAUAGGAGCUCCUGCUGCAUGGUGAGGGUUGGAAAGUUUCGGCGGUUGGGGAUGGACUCGCGGCUUAUCAGCUUGUUGGUGGGGUAGUGGCUUACCAAGGCUUUGACGGGUAGCCGGCCUGAGAGGGUGACCGGCCACAUUGGGACUGAGAUACGGCCCAGACUCCUACGGGAGGCAGCAGUGGGGAAUAUUGCACAAUGGGCGGAAGCCUGAUGCAGCAACGCCGCGUGCGGGAUGACGGCCUUCGGGUUGUAAACCGCUUUCGCCUGUGACGAAGCGUGAGUGACGGUAAUGGGUAAAGAAGCACCGGCUAACUACGUG
rnacentral:rRNA from 1 species